rnacentral:rRNA from 1 species
AAUAGCCUAACGGCUGAACCAGCAACUUGGAGGAAUGUAAGGCAAUAGCCUAAUGCAUUAUUUUAAUGUUUAAUCGACCAUGUCGAAUAAAAUUCUAGGUAGAGUUUUGACAAUGACAUUCUCUAUCUAUGUGUCUUGACCAAAUUACGUGCCAGCAGUCGCGGUAAUACGUAAAAGACUAGUGUUAUUCAUCUUUAAUAGGUUUAAAGAGUACCAAGACGGUUAAUAAAGCCCCUAAAGGGUACAAAUUAACUAGAGUUAUAUGAAAGGGAGCUCUUAGGUACUGUUGAGUGUAGAGAUGAAAUUCUGUGAUACCAGAUGAUUGGCACGGGUCUAUGCGAAGGCAUCUCCUUAUGUAAUAACUGACGUUGUAGGACGAAGGCUUUUGAAGUGAACAGGAUUCGAUACCCCAGUAAUCUAGGCAGAAAAUGAUGAGUGUCAUAGGUUAAAUAUAAUUUAGUCUAUAAAUGAAAGUGUAAGCAUUCCACCUCAAGAGUAAUUUGGCAACAUUGGAACUGAAAUCAUUAGACCGUUUCUGAAACCAGUAGUGAAGUAUGUUGUUUAAUUUGAUGAUCCGCAAAGAACCUUACCACUUUUAAUAAUGUUAAAAUUAUUAUUUUUUUUUUUUUUACAUUGUUAAAAUUAUUAUCUUGAAUAAAUAUUUUUUUAAUAUUUACAAGUGUUGCACGGCUGUCUUCAGUUAAUGUCGUGAGAUUUUGGUUAGUUCCAUUAAAUUAACGAAAACCCUUACUUUAUUUUUAUAUAAAGUUGUUCACCGUUAUAUUGGAUAUGAUAAUAGGGACCAGGACAAGUCAUCAUGACCUAAAUAUUGUGGGCUAUAGACGUGCCACAUAAGCCUUACAAAAGGAUGCUAAAUUGCGAAAUUAAGCUAAUCCCCUAAAAUUGGGUAUACACAUUAU